AUAAGUGAAUAGUGAAAGCUGGCGGCUCAACCGUACAGACUAUUAUUCAAACUGUAUAACUCGAGAGUAGCAGAGGUAACUGGAAUUUCUGAAGUAGGGGUAAUAUCCGUAGAUAUCAGAAGGAACACCAAUGGCGUAGGCAGGUUACUGGGCUAUUUCUGACACUGAGGCACGAAAGCGUGGGGAGCGAACCGGAUUAGAUACCCGGGUAGUCCACGCCGUAAACGAUGGAUACUA
rnacentral:rRNA from 1 species